GAUGAACGCUGGCGGCGUGCCUAAUACAUGCAAGUCGAGCGGACAGACGAUGAGUUUGCUCCUCUCACGUUAGCGGCGGGCGGGUGAGUAGCACGUGGAUAACCUACUUAUAAGACUUGGAUAAGUUCGGGAAACCGGAACUAAUACCGGGUACAUGAUUGAACCGGAUGGUUCAAUAGUUUAGUACGGGUUAGCGGUCACUUCGAGAUGUAUCCGCGUGUGAUUAGCUAGUUGGUACGGUAAGGGCUUACCAGGGCAACGGUGCGUAGCCGACCUGAGAGGGUAGUCGGCCAGACUGGAACGGAGACCCGGUCCAGACUCCGACGGGAGGCAGACGCAGGGAAUAUGCCGCAAAGGGCGAAAGCCUGACGGAGCAACGCCGCGUGAGCGAUGAAGGUCUUCGGAUGGUAAAACUCUGUUAUUAGGGAAGAACAAAUGUGUAAGACAAAAUGCACGUCUUGACGGUACCUAAUCAGAAAGCCACGGCUAACUACGUG
rnacentral:rRNA from 1 species